GGGGUAGUAAAGGUUUCGACAGGAGUCUUGCAGCUGGAGAAGCUAUCCGUUGUGACACGUUAAUCACAAAAUUAAACUAAACGCUGAAGAUAAUACUCAGUUAGCAUUUGCAGCGUAAUUGCUGUGAAUGACGCUGCCUUAGGCAGCUUGUCCGCUCCGGGGCACUCACACCUCGGAAUCCGGGCAUCAACCAUGUGAGAAACGACAUGCGUUAAGCUUUGCGCGCAUGGGCGUAAAAUGAAGCUACCAAAUGGAGCAGGCUGUUCGUUUCCUGCCCCAGGCGGGAACAGGCCGGGGAAAGCCCGGCCAAGAUAACGGACUAUGAUAGUAGAAGGACAGGGAAUGGGCUUUUGGACACGGGUUCGACUCCCGUCUACUCCAU
rnacentral:tmRNA from 1 species